rnacentral:rRNA from 1 species
GACGAACGCUGGCGGCAUGCUUUACACAUGCAAGUCGAACGGUAACAGGCCGCAAGGUGCUGACGAGUGGCGAACGGGUGAGUAAUGCAUCGGAACGUGCCCAGUCGUGGGGGAUAACGCAGCGAAAGCUGUGCUAAUACCGCAUACGAUCUACGGAUGAAAGCGGGGGACUCAGCAAUGAGCCUCGCGCGAUUGGAGCGGCCGAUGUCAGAUUAGGUAGUUGGUGGGAUAAAAGCUCACCAAGCCAACGAUCUGUAGCUGGUCUGAGAGGACGACCAGCCACACUGGGACUGAGACACGGCCCAGACUCCUACGGGAGGCAGCAGUGGGGAAUUUUGGACAAUGGGCGCAAGCCUGAUCCAGCAAUGCCGCGUGCAGGAGAAGGCCUCGGUGUAACUAGCUUUGUACGUACGAACGGUACUGGUAAUACCUGGCUAAUGACGGUACGUAACGUAUAAGUCACCGGCUAACUACGUGUCACG